AUACCAAACUGAAGACACGAAUUUAAUUCGCAUCGUCGUUUUGAAACCCCACAAUUAUUUAACAUGGAACCCUUACUUGAAUUCUAUGGUCAUUUGUGAUUUUAGUUGCCUAUUAUCAGGUUUGCAUAUGAAUACACAUUUAUACUCACUUAUCUACUUUCCGACACGAAUCAGCAACAAUAUGAUGAUGGAUAUGAAUUAGUUUCGGAACUAUCUGAAAAUUGAAAAAGAUACUCUGUUUGGGAAGAAAAAGGAAGUCAAGGGUUUUGAUAUCAUUGGAAAAGUUAUGAUUAAGAGCAAUUGUUGUGUUGAGAUGUUGAAUUUAGUUUUGGAAGAGAUGAUUCAGAGAGGGAGAAUUAUACACUCUAGUAAGGGCUUGCUCCUGAGAUUCCGGAGGAUUUAUACCACCCGAUCAAGAAGGCAGUUGCGAUCAGGAAGCACUUGGAGAGGAACCGAAAGGACAAAGAUUCAAAGUUCAGGUUGAUUCUUGUUGAGAGCAGGAUUCAUCGUCUUGCCCGUUACUACAAGAAGACCAAGAAGCUUCCCCCUGUCUGGAAAUACGAAUCAACCACUGCUGGCACUUUGGUGGCUUAGAGAAGUGUUAUCUGGAGGAAGGGAUUCGAUUUUUGAGUUUUAUGUUAUGUUUUUUAGUUGAAAUAUUGUUCUUUGUUUGGAACAUGGAAAGAUUGUGUUGUUUGAAGAACUUGUUAGAAAUGUAGCAUCAAUUUAUGCACUUUUCAUACCUUAUGUCUA